rnacentral:rRNA from 1 species
GACGAACGCUGGCGGCGUGCUUAACACAUGCAAGUCGAGCGACGCUCUUCCUUCGGGGAGAUGACGGAGCGGCGAACGGGUGAGUAACACGUGGGCAACCUGCCCCUAGCUCUGGGACAACACCGGGAAACCGGUGCUAAUACCGGAUACGACAUCGAGCGGCAUCUCUCGAUGUGGAAAGUUUUUUCGGCUAGGGAUGGGCCCGCGGCCUAUCAGCUUGUUGGUGGGGUAAUGGCCCACCAAGGCGACGACGGGUAGCCGGCCUGAGAGGGCGACCGGCCACACUGGGACUGAGACACGGCCCAGACUCCUACGGGAGGCAGCAGUGGGGAAGAUUGCGCAAUGGGCGAAAGCCGGACGCAGCGACGCCGCGUGAGGGAUGACGGCCUUCGGGUUGUAAACCUCUUUCAGCAGGGACGAAUUCAGACGGUACCUGCAGAAGAAGCACCGGCCAACUACGUG